CCUGGACGUCUCACCAUCUUUGAGAGCUUUCUGACAGCAUCUUGCAGACCUCAUCAUCUUCAUAGAGAUUGAAAAAGCUUUUGGAUUCUGCUAGCUCUUUUGGGCCCAAUUGCCAAGUUCCCCUUGGUCUAUAACAGUGCCCGUCACUCAUCAGCAGGCAAACUGUCGUGGGUCAAGACACCUUGCUUCUUGGGAAAACCUUGUCAUUCCACUCUUUACCUAGAGCAUCAGCAGCUACUUCUGUGGCCAUGUAUCACUGAAGCCGCUCUUGUUCUUUGCUGACCUUCCUGGGGUUAACCCUGACUGACGGCAGUGAUACCAGAAUGGACCUGUCCCAUGAAUGAGGACCCGGAAGCAUACUGGACCUUGCCAGACCCUUUGAGCUGAGCAGCUGGAGCUGUUUGCCGUUAUCACGCGCUGGGAGAGGCAGAGGGAAAGUGUUUUUCUCAGGGAUCUGUAACAUCAACCAGCUAGUGACAGAAUCACUGGGUGGACAGUUGGGGGUGGAGAUCAGCGAGAAUCUGAUGACCUAAGACAGGCCCCGGUGACUGCUGAGGAAGGAAGAGUCACUGCUUUGGGGACAUGGCCCCUGGGAUGGGCUGGGAACAGACAGCAGCAAUACCACCAUGUGAAUGCGGCUCAAAGAAAAUAUCAGGGCCUUUGCAUGGGACCUCCCUUUUCCAAGCAAAUGGAUGGAACUAGAAGAAACCAUCCUGAGUGAGUUAACCCAGUCACAAAAAGACAAACAUGAGCCCUCAUCAAGCAGAGGCAGACACCCAAAGCUGUACACUGAAUUGAACUCUGGAAGCCAGUGCAGAGAGGGAGGAAUGAAGAACAAAGAGAUCAGGACCAGGCUGGUGAAACCCACAGAAAUAGUUGACCUGAGCAAGGGGGAGCACAUGGACCCCAGACUGAUGUCUGGGAGGCCAGCACGGGACUGAUCCAGACCCCUGAAUGUGGAUGUCAAUGAGGAGGCCUCGGCACUCUAUGGGGCCCCUGGUAGUGGAUCAGUAUUUUUCCCUGGUGUAAGAAGGGACUUUGAGAGCCCAUCCCACAUGAGGGAUGCUCUCUUAGCCUGGACACAUGGGGGAGGGCCUAGGCCUUGCCCAGGAUGAUAUGACAGACUUUGGGGAAUCCCCAUGGAGGGC
rnacentral:lncRNA from 1 species